rnacentral:rRNA from 1 species
GACGAACGCUGGCGGCGUGCUUAACACAUGCAAGUCGAACGGAAAGGCCUGCUUUCCCUUGUGGAUUGCGGGUACUCGAGUGGCGAACGGGUGAGUAACACGUGAGUGAUCUGCCCCCAACUUGGGUAUAAGCCUGGGAAACUGGGUCUAAUUCCCGAUAGGACUGCAGGGUGGUGCCUGUGGUGGAAAACGAUUUUCUAGUGGUUGGGGAUGAGCUCGCGGCCUAUCAGCUUGUUGGUGGGGUAAUGGCCUACCAAGGCGGCGACGGGUAGCCGGCCUGGGAGGGUGGGCGGCCACAUUGGGACUGAGAUACGGCCCAGACUCCUACGGGAGGCAGCAGUGGGGAAGAGUGCACGAUGGGCGGAAGCCUGAUGCAGCGACGCCGCGUGGGGGAUGACGGCCUUCGGGUUGUAAACUCCUUUCGACCGCGAGGAAGCCACCUGGUUGGAAGGGUGGUGACGGUAGUGGUAGAAGAAGCACCGGCUAACUACGUG